GAUGAACGCUAGCUACAGGCUUAACACAUGCAAGUCGAGGGGCAGCAUGAACUUAGCUUGCUAAGUUUGAUGGCGACCGGCGCACGGGUGAGUAACACGUAUCCAACCUUCCGUUUACUCAGGGAUAGCCUUUCGAAAGAAAGAUUAAUACCUGAUAGUAUGGUGAGAUUGCAUGAUAACACCAUUAAAGAUUUAUUGGUAAACGAUGGGGAUGCGUUCCAUUAGGUAGUAGGCGGGGUAACGGCCCACCUAGCCUGCGAUGGAUAGGGGUUCUGAGAGGAAGGUCCCCCACAUUGGAACUGAGACACGGUCCAAACUCCUACGGGAGGCAGCAGUGAGGAAUAUUGGUCAAUGGACGAGAGUCUGAACCAGCCAAGUAGCGUGAAGGAUGACUGCCCUAUGGGUUGUAAACUUCUUUUAUACGGGAUAAAGUGAGAGUCGUGACUCUUUUUGCAUGUACCUUAUGAAUAAGGACCGGCUAAAUUUCCGUG
rnacentral:rRNA from 1 species